GGAAUAACCUGAGGAAACUCAGGGUAAUACCGCAUAACCUCUUUGGAGUAAAGCGGGGAUCUAUAAGGACCUCGCGCUAUUGGAUGAGCCUACGCCGGAUUAGCUAGUUGGUAGAGUAAUAGCCUACCAAGGCGACGAUCCGUAGCUGGUCUGAGAGGACGAUCAGCCACACUGGGACUGAGACACGGCCCAGACUCCUACGGGAGGCAGCAGUGGGGAAUAUUGGACAAUGGGGGGAACCCUGAUCCAGCAAUGCCGCGUGUGUGAAGAAGGCCUUUGGGUUGUAAAGCACUUUCAGUAGGGAAGAAAUACUUAAGACUAAUACUCUUAAGUAUUGACGUUACCUAAAGAAGAAGCACUGGCUAACUCUGUGCCAGCAGCCGCGGUAAUACAGAGAGUGCAAGCGUUAAUCGGAAUGACUGGGCGUAAAGCGCGCGUAGGUGGACAUCUAAGUCGGAUGUGAAAGCCCUGGGCUUAACCUAGGAAUUGCACCCGAUACUGGGUAUCUCGAGUAUGAUAGAGGGAAGUGGAAUUUCCGGUGUAGCGGUGAAAUGCGUAGAUAUCGGAAGGAACACCAGUGGCGAAGGCGGCUUCCUGGAUCAAUACUGACACUGAGGCGCGAAAGCGUGGGGAGCAAACAGGAUUAGAGACCCUGGUAGUCCACGCCAUCAACGAUGAGAACUAGCUGUUGGGAAGUUUAUUUUCUAGUAGCGAAGCUAACGCGUUAAGUUUUCCGCCUGGGGAGUACGGCCGCAAGGCUAAAACUCAAAGAAAUUGACGGGGGCCCGCACAAGCGGUGGAGCAUGUGGUUUAAUUCGAUGCAACGCGAAAAACCUUACCUACCCUUGACAUCCUCGAAAUUUGUCAGAAAUGACUUAGUGCCUUCGGGAAUCGAGUGACAGGUGCUGCAUGGCUGUCGUCAGCUCGUGUCGUGAGAUGUUGGGUUAAGUCCCGUAACGAGCGCAACCCUCGUCCUUAGUUGCCAGCGGGUUCUGCCGGGAACUCUAAGGAGACUGCCGGUGAUAAAUCGGAGGAAGGUGAGGACGAUGUCAAGUCAUCAUGGCCCUUACGGGUAGGGCUACACACGUGCUACAAUGGGUGGUACAGAGGGUUGCUAAACCGUGAGGUGGAGCUAAUCUCAGAAAGCCACUCGUAGUCCGGAUUAGAGUCUGCAACUCGACUCUAUGAAGUUGGAAUCGCUAGUAAUCGCGAAUCAGAAUGUCGCGGUGAAUACGUUCUCGGGCCUUGUACACACCGCCCGUCCCACCAUGGAAGUG
rnacentral:rRNA from 1 species